UGCCAGGUGGCACAAUGGGUCUGUGCAUCUGGCUGUUAACCAGAGGGUUGGUGGUUUGACCUCCCCAGGGACGGCUUGCAG